rnacentral:rRNA from 1 species
GACGAACCGUGCGAACGUUAUUCGGAAUCACUGGGCUUAAAGGGCGCGUAGGCGGCUUUGCAAGUCCGGGGUGAAAGCCCCCAGCUCAACUGGGGAAGUGCCUCGGAUACUGCGGAGCUCGAGGGAGGUAGGGGCGGAUGGAACUUCCGGUGGAGCGGUGAAAUGCGUUGAUAUCGGAAGGAACGCCGGUGGCGAAAGCGAUCCGCUGGCCCUCUACUGACGCUGAGGCGCGAAAGCCAGGGGAGCAAACGGG